rnacentral:rRNA from 1 species
GCAAGUCUGGUGCCAGCAGCCGCGGUAAUUCCAGCUCCAAUAGCGUAUAUUAAAGUUGUUGCAGUUAAAAAGCUCGUAGUUGAAUUUCGGGAUCAAUAUUUCGGUCAUGCCGUUGGUAUGCACUGUUAUCAUUGAUUUCUCACCUUCUAAAGAACCAUAAUGCCAUUAAUUUGGUGUUACGGGGAAUUAGGACUGUUACCUUGAAAAAAUUAGAGUGUUUAAAGCAGGCUCACGCUUGAAUACAUUAGCAUGGAAUAAUGAAAUAGGACAUCCGAUUCUAUUUUGUUGGUUUCUAGGAUCGAUGUAAUGAUUAAUAGGGAUAGUUGGGGGCAUUAGUAUUCAAUUGUCAGAGGUGAAAUUCUUGGAUUUAUUGAAGACUAACUACUGCGAAAGCAUUUGCCAAGGAUGUAUUCAUUAAUCAAGAACGAAAGUUAGGGGAUCGAAGACGAUCAGAUACCGUCGUAGUCUUAACCAUAAACUAUGCCGACUAGGGAUCGGAUGAUGUUAAUUUUUUAAUGACUCAUUCGGCGCCUUACGGGAAAC